CACCGCGGUUAUACGAGAGGCCCAAGUUGACAGACAUCGGCGUAAAGAGUGGUUAAUAAAUUAUAAACUAAGGCUGAACACCUUCAAGGCCGUCAUACGCACCCGAAGGCAGGAAGAGCCCCAACGAAAGUGGCCUUAACUUAUUAUGAACCCACGAAAGCUAGGACA
rnacentral:rRNA from 22 species